CAUAUGUGUUUUAGAAACAUCUCUUGUGUUGUAUUAUAUGAAUUACAGUUUUUAGUGUGCUCAGUUUAGAGAAUAGCAUAAAAGUAUUUGAUAAUUAAAUAUCUUGCAGAUUGGCAGUUUACUCCAUGCACCGACAGGAAUGAUAAACUGUGAUAUUCGUAAAUGGAACUGGGACACGUUCUAAAUAUACUCAGGGACAGAAUGAUGUGCAGCAAGGCUCGUCAUGGAUUUUACCAAAUACAGAACACUGCAAGGCUUGCAAAAUGAAGACCUCAGUAAAUUUUUUUCUAAAUUAUCCACUAAUGGCAGCUCACUACCUGCCCCUUGUGAUGUUAAAAGAGGCCGUUGUUCUCAUUUGUUCCAAAACAGGAAUGGCAUAUGAGGAGGCCAACAGAAGAUGCACCUCCACUGACCUCCACUGAGUGUGCACUCACAAAACGAAUAAAUUAUUAUUAUUUCUUUUGUUUGUAAUUGUAUAUUGUCAACAAGGUCAAAGGCACUUGAUCCGAUGCCAAACUUUUGCAUUUCUUUUGCUUUGUGGUAAAUUUUCUUCAGCAACAUUAACAUUGUUUAAAUUGUUUUCUUUGGAGAGUUUACAUGUACACAUGGAUCAUUUGUAUAUUAGAAUUAUAGCAUUGUUUAAUUCAACUCAUUCUUAUCAUAGAGAGGUUAUUAUAUACUGCAGGCAACGAC